rnacentral:rRNA from 1 species
CGACGAGUUUGAUCCUGGCUCAGAACGAACGCUGGCGGCGCGCCUAACACAUGCAAGUCGAACGAGAAUCCGGGGCAACCCGGUAGUAAAGUGGCAAACGGGUGAGGAAUACAUGGGUAACCUACCCUUGAGAAGGGAAUAACCCGCCGAAAGGUGAGCUAAUACCCUAUACGCUAUCUUUUUUUCGAAAAGGAUAGGAAAGCCGGGUCGAGGACCUGGUACUCAAGGAGGGGCUCAUGUCCUAUCAGCUUGUUGGUGGGGUAACGGCCUACCAAGGCUACGACGGGUAGCUGGUCUGAGAGGAUGAUCAGCCACACUGGCACUGAGAUACGGGCCAGACUCCUACGGGAGGCAGCAGUGAGGAAUAUUGCGCAAUGGGCGAAAGCCUGACGCAGCGACGCCGCGUGGGGGAUGAAGGUUUUCGGAUUGUAAACCCUUUCAUGAGGAAAGAUAAAGUGGGUAACCACUUAGACGGUACCUCAAGAAGAAGCCACGGCUAACUUCGUG